rnacentral:misc_RNA from 1 species
GGUUCAGUCUCCGCUCUUUGUGGGGGAGCCAAGAGCCUGCACAGCCUGCCCUCGGGUACGGUUGCGGACUCUUGUCGGCUUCCAGUUCUGGGCUGGCGCCGUACCAAAGGUACGUGUGGUCAUGAUCACUCUCGGACCAGCUCACUACAAAUCAUGCCGAUCAGUCAGGACAAAAAAAACAUCUCUUGCAUUCGACCGGGUCUGCGCUGAUGAGGCGCAGAUGCCGGAAGCAUGACGGGAGCACCCUCGAAUGGCACCAGCGAGUCCUCCAGACGCGCAUGAGGCGAGUCCCCACGCCACAUUACGGCAUGCCGCGGCUUGUGGCGACCGAGGGAGAGGCAUGGCAUGCAGGCAGGGCGUGCAAGGUCUCGGAGGGCCCUGGCCUGCGUGUGACCGACUUCCUUGCUGCGCUCGCCCGGCAUGCCCCCUUGAUCGCCACCCCCUUCUACCCGCACGGCAGACGCCACGGCCUCCGCCCACGAGCGGGACCCUGAAGGCGGCCCUGCUUGGAUCAAGGCAUGCGGUCCACCCAUGCGCGUGUGCCGCCGGGUGGCGCGGCAUGCGUGCGGGGGAGGGCAAGAGAAGCCGAUGGGACGCAUGGCCCGAUUUCGGCGGCAGAACUGCUCGUCCUGGUCGACGCGGAUGUGGCGGCAGUGCGACAGGGGGGCGUGUGAGCUGUGGUUGUUCGCUUGUGCUUGUGAACGUGUUUGAUGGUGGAAGGAGACGUUGAGAAGCGAAAAGCGCAUGAACUUCUUCCCUUUUAUUUUCGUGUUGUUGUUCACUGUGCUGCGUAGGCCGCAGCUGGCGAGGACGUUUGUUUGCUCAGCUUUUCUUGUUGACGUCGAUAUGGGUUGGAACCCCCUUUUUUUGUUCUCUCUCUGCGUGCGUGGGUGUAUGGAGAACGCGAGCGUAUUCGGGAGCUGACUUUUCUGUGUGCGCUGCGUUGGUGCACCGCUUCCUCCUCCGUGAUCGGGCCAUGGCUUGCAUUCGAUUUUCAUGUGUGGUUCUCGGGGGUGUGGUGUCGGUGAGCCUCCUCUGCCGGCUUUGCUGCAUUACGACACGCACGUCGGAUUAGAGAGCCCCCGGGAACCGUGGGGAGCAGCGAUGAUGGAUGAACAAGAGUCCGUGAAGGCGACUACCACAGUGAUGAAGAGGGAAAAGAAAGGAAGAGGGCGCUUCACAAGUUACAGAACAGGCUGAGAGUUGUGGCGACAUCUGCAUUCGCUGAAAAGGGGGUCGAUGUGAAAAUGGCCUCUCCUGCGUCUGAAUUGUUAUUCUCUUCUUUUUCUUGUCACGAAUACGCGGGCCUACACUCACCCGCCCUUCCCGCUUCAUGCGUAUGCCUCUCACGUCGAGGUCUCUCUCUCGCACUUGCUGUAUGCUGUUACUCCACUGACUGCUAUGACGGGGGACCGUCUCUCUUUUUCUUUCCUUCUGCUAUUGACUCGUACUGUUCUUUCAGUGUUCUUAUUAUUCUUUUGUAUUGUUCUCCUUUCUGUGUCUCUCUUCGUUUUUCUCUCCGGGGAAGCCUGUCUGUGUGCGUGUGUGCAGGGGGGGGGCGUGGGGAGGCUUUCGCCUCUGUGCAGUCUGCGGUGUCGCCCUUCAACCAUCGGAAACAAGAAAACGAAAAAGCGCAACCGCUGCAGUCUGACGUCAGGCUUUCCAGGAAUCAAGAAAAAUGACGUGCCUACGGCUUCUCGGAUCUCAAGUGCGGUGCAAGUACUUCUCACGACGCGUAGUCCAAACUUGCUGUCCUGCUCUGCGGCAAAAGCCCACUUAGUGCUAUCUAUAGUAUAUGGAAAGGUGUGGAGAGACGUAGAAAGACGUUAGGAAAGAGGAGCGCCAUGCAGCGCGUCUCUCUGUCCGACGAACACCUUUCAUGUGCCUUUGCAGGAUGUCCUCCACGCUGUCGGUUGACCAGAGGCCCCGCACUGAAUAAGCGAGGGCACACGGGAUGGGGUCUGCUGCUUUGAUUUUUUUUGCUGGUGCCUCCUCCAUCAUGCCGAUAGGGGCCUUUACUCACGCAUAAGGCUCCAACAGAGCUGCCCCCUUCUCCAUCAUCCCUCUCCUCUUCUGCUCUCUCCAUCUUGCUCUCCUCGAUGCUGACCCCCUCUGUGUCACACACCCUUACGCACAAUGAGUGAAG